GCCCUUCUAAACCAAUGUGGGACGUAGUCUUCUCCAUUGAUGCUCAAAAAAUUCAUGGCAACUAGUGCAUGACAACAUGGGAUUCCUGUUAAAGUCCACUUGCUACAAUUGCAUUUCAGUUUAUCUAUGUUAACCAUAUACUUCUCACAAAUCAUUGAAGUGUGUUUGACCUCAAAAAUUUUCUAUCCUGACCAACUGCAA
rnacentral:lncRNA from 1 species